rfam:Caenorhabditis elegans chromosome V
CCAACGGCCCUCUUUAGGGCCACAAAUCUAAAAUCCUAAUUUUCU